CCUACGGGAGGCAGCAGUGGGGAAUAUUGGACAAUGGGCGCAAGCCUGAUCCAGCAAUGCCGCGUGAGUGAUGAAGGCCUUAGGGUCGUAAAGCUCUUUUACCAGGGAUGAUAAUGACAGUACCUGGAGAAUAAGCUCCGGCUAACUCCGUGCCAGCAGCCGCGGUAAUACGGAGGGAGCUAGCGUUGUUCGGAAUUACUGGGCGUAAAGCGUACGUAGGCGGUUAUUCAAGUCAGAGGUGAAAGCCCGGGGCUCAACCCCGGAACGGCCUUUGAAACUAGGUAGCUAGAAUCUUGGAGAGGUCAGUGGAAUUCCGAGUGUAGAGGUGAAAUUCGUAGAUAUUCGGAAGAACACCAGUGGCGAAGGCGACUGACUGGACAAGUAUUGACGCUGAGGUACGAAAGCGUGGGGAGCAAACAGGAUUAGAUACCCUGGUAGUCCACGCCGUAAACGAUGAUAACUAGCUGUUCGGGCACUUGGUGCUUGAGUGGCGCAGCUAACGCAUUAAGUUAUCCGCCUGGGGAGUACGGUCGCAAGNUUAAAACUUAAAGGAAUUGACGG
rnacentral:rRNA from 1 species